rnacentral:rRNA from 1 species
GACGAACGCUGGCGGCGUGCUUAACACAUGCAAGUCGUACGGUAAGGCCCUUUCGGGGGUACACGAGUGGCGAACGGGUGAGUAACACGUGAGUAACCUGCCCACAACUUUGGGAUAACGCUAGGAAACUGGUGCUAAUACUGGAUAUGUGCUCCUGCUGCAUGGUGGGGGUUGGAAAGCUCCGGCGGUUGUGGAUGGACUCGCGGCCUAUCAGCUUGUUGGUGGGGUAGUGGCCUACCAAGGCGGCGACGGGUAGCCGGCCUGAGAGGGUGACCGGCCACAUUGGGACUGAGAUAAGGCACAGACGCCUACGGGAGGCAGCAGUGGGGAAUAUUGCACCAUGGGCGCCAGCCGGAUGAAGCAAGGCCGCGUGCGGGAUGACGGCCUUCGGGUUGUAAAACGCUUUCAGCAGGGACGAAGCUUUUUGUGACGGUACCUGCAGAAGAAGCACCGGCUAACUACGUG